rnacentral:rRNA from 1 species
AUUGAACGCUGGCGGCAGGCCUAACACAUGCAAGUCGAGCGGAUGAAGGGAGCUUGCUCCUGGAUUCAGCGGCGGACGGGUGAGUAAUGCCUAGGAAUCUGCCUGGUAGUGGGGGAUAACGUCCGGAAACGGGCGCUAAUACCGCAUACGUCCUGAGGGAGAAAGUGGGGGAUCUUCGGACCUCACGCUAUCAGAUGAGCCUAGGUCGGAUUAGCUAGUUGGUGGGGUAAAGGCCUACCAAGGCGACGAUCCGUAACUGGUCUGAGAGGAUGAUCAGUCACACUGGAACUGAGACACGGUCCAGACUCCUACGGGAGGCAGCAGUGGGGAAUAUUGGACAAUGGGCGAAAGCCUGAUCCAGCCAUGCCGCGUGUGUGAAGAAGGUCUUCGGAUUGUAAAGCACUUUAAGUUGGGAGGAAGGGCAGUAAGUUAAUACCUUGCUGUUUUGACGUUACCAACAGAAUAAGCACCGGCUAACAUCGUG